UACGUAGGGUGCAAGCGUUAAUCGGAAUUACUGGGCGUAAAGCGUGCGCAGGCGGUUUUGUAAGUCUGUCGUGAAAGCCCCGGGCACAACCUGGGAAUUGCGAUGGAGACUGCAAGGCUUGAAUCUGGCAGAGGGGGGUAGAAUUCCACGUGUAGCAGUGAAAUGCGGAGAGAUGUGGAGGAACACCGAUGGCGAAGGCAGCCCCCUGGGUCAAGAUUGACGCUCAUGCACGAAAGCGUGGGGAGCAAACAGG
rnacentral:rRNA from 1 species